UUUAACCUUUCUUAUUUUGGGAUGCAUUUAUGGAAUAUUUUAAUUCACCUUAUUGUAUUGCCUUCUUAAAAUUUUUCUACACAUGUUUCAGAUGAUACGAACAAUUAUCUUUUAUACAUCUUAAAUGUGUAUAGCACCCAAGGGCUAUUUACAUUUGCAUUUGUUAGUUGCAAGAAUUAUGUUAUAUCCUGCUCUGCCAUCCGCCCCUCUCAUUCUCUCUCCCAAGCGAUAAGGCUCAUCUCAUUCUCUCUUCCCAGGCGAUAAGGCUCAAGCGGGUCAACAAAAAAAAAGGAAGGAAAGACCAAACGAUAAGGCUGGUGGCUUAUCUAGAAAGGUCCCUAGCGCCCUGCGACGACGCUUGGAUCACAGCGUUGUUGGACGACUGCGCAUCUACCUUCGCAGUUAUCUGGAAUUUGGAGUUACAGUCCACGUUCGCACGAAUUGGAACUUUCAACUGCCAAAACAUACAAUUAUCUGGAUUUUGGAGUUACAGUCCACGUUCGCACAAAUUGGAACUUUCAACUGCCAAAACAUACAAAUACAUUCACAGUGGCGAGUGAAGGGCGAGCAUCCUUACCAUCACAGCAGAAUAGCCCAAACCCGGGCAGAUUUCAACGGUCCGGCAGGGGACGGAGGCAGAGACAGUUGCUGCUCCUGCGCCAGAGAGGGGAGGAAAGGCUUCACGCCUCCAAGGUAGCAACAAGGCAUGAGGGGGUAGGAAAGGCUUCACGCCUCCAAGAUUUCAGUCAAUUCCUUGCCAGAACUAUUAAAUAAAGGUGUUAAUGUGCAUGAUGAAUGCUCACAGUCGAUUCCUUGCUAGAACUAUUAAAUAAAGGUGUUAAUGUGCAUGAUGAAUAUUCAGUCAAUUCCUUUACAGAACUGUUAAAAAAAAUAGCCACAAGAGGAUAUGAGCAGGGUAGGAGUGAACUUAACUUCGUGAUGUAGGUGGAGGUGGUCUGCGUACAAGAAAAUCCGAAAAACAGAAGCUUGUUGUUACCAAGAACAAUUCAGAUAGUUGUUUCUAUAAAUAAUUUCACCUGUACAGCUUCAAUUCAA